rnacentral:lncRNA from 1 species
ACUUGUUUGUGCUCUAGGAAGUCCCCAAGAGCACAGGAGCCCAGAGACCUCGCAGGAGGAAGCAGCAGUAUCUGUGUUCCAAAUCCUGCCCAGCCCCCAGGCAGCCAUGGUAUCUUCUCAGCUGGCUCGAGGGCACACCUCCCAAAAUGCAGAGAAGGCAGGGUGGCUAGGAAUGGCUCUAGUAGAAUUCUCCCCUUAUCUUGUCUGGAAACAAGGGGCAAAGAGCUAUCUAUUUCCUCCUGCCAGCCUCCUGCCCCCAACAGGAUUCCUCACAUCCCAGGACCAGCUGGAAAAGGUGGUGAGAGUUGGAAAGAGACUGCUCAGUGAGGACUGCCCUGCGAACCAGCUUGGAUUCAUCCCGUUCACCUCCACGUUCUGCACUCGGGGCCGAGGGAAGGGAGGCAGCCCAGGCAGCUAGAGAACUUGAUGAAACACACUCAAUCUGAAUCUCGCUUGAUCGUCAUGCUGACCCAGUGAGGCCACUCCUCGACUUUUCAGCUCCCGCACGAUUCCUGAAGCAGGAAAAGAAACAGUUCUGUGAGGUAAGAUUCAGAAGGGUAAGAUAGGCCACUCAGCUGCCACCUUGAGGGGGGUACUAUAAGCAAACUGGAGUUCCUAGACUACUUAUCAAUCGUCUGCUUGGCCAGGCACGGUGGCUCAUGCCUGCAAUCUCAGCACUUUGGGAGGUCAAGGUGGAUCACUUGAGGUCAGGAGUUCAAGACUAGCCUGGGCUACAGAGCAAGGCCCCAUCUCUACAAAAAAAUUUUAAAAAUUAGCCAGGUGUAGUGGCUUGCACCUGUAGUGCCAGCUAUUUGGGAGGCUGAGGCGGGAGGAUCCCUUGAAUCCAUGAGUUCAAGGCUGCAGUGAGCUCUGAUAAUGCCACUAUACUUCAGCCUGGGUGACAGAGACUCUGUCUCAAAAAAAAAAAAAAAAAAAAAGGUCCUGCUUAGUUGACUCAUUACUAGUGAAGACCCAGGCAGGUAUUCGGUAAGAAUGAGAAGAAAAAGAGGGAUACAUGUAGUCAUCAAAAGCAAAGGUUCUAAGCCAAGCACCUGUAGUCCCAGCUACUCAGGAGGCAGAGGUGGGAGGAGCACAUGAGCCCAGGAGUUAGAGUCCAGCCUGGGCAACAUAGUGAGACCUUGUCUCUAAAAAAAAUAAAAAACAGAAACAGCAAAAAUUCUGGAGCCAGAAUGCCUGGAUUCCAAUCCUGGCUCCUCAUUUACUACCUGGUGACCUCCAGCAAGUGAUUUAACCUCUCUGUGCCUGGUUCCCCCCAUCUGUAAAAUGCUGAACCUCAUAGAAUGUGAGAAUUGGCAUUAAUUCAGAUAAAAAAACUUCCACAGAGCUUUACAGUAAAUGAACAUUGGCUGUUAUGAUUAUUAUUACCUUGGGGCAGGCGACCAGUGACUGACACCGCAUAUACACCUGGCUUAAAGUUACCUGAGAGAGAAGAAAAAAGAUACAAGAUUACAGUGAAGUUAGUUAAGACUCAAGAUCAAAUGGAAGCUUAAGCUAAAGAAGUGAUGCAACUCCAAGAGAAGAGCUAUUCCCUCUUUUGGCUACAAGUGUUAAAUGACAAGGCACAGGACACUGCUUCCCUGUGUUUCCUACAACCCGAUCUUUCCCACCCUGAGGUCACUCAUCUUGCUGAUUUGAGACUCCCUAAUGGACCUGAGGAACAGUAACAACACUACAACUAAGCCAAAAGGAGACAGGCCAACACUUACUGACUCGCUGCCACUUGGAGACCCAGCUGUCCUCUGGACUCAUCAUCGCAAUGAUUCUAGGGAGGGAAAAGAAAUGGAGAGUCAGCCUGAGCCUCCCUGGGCCUGAGCUCAAUUCUGAGAGAGGAAUCUAGGAAAAAGCCAAGUACCGAGUCUCCACUGGAAAGCUGGCAAAACUGCCUUCUGAUGUUGGGAUGAGGCUGACUCAAAGCUAGGACUGACAAAAGUUCUUCAUUCUUAUGUCCUUGGCCGGCCAGCCACAGGUCAGUUUCCAUCCCCAAAAGAUUAUCUCACUCAGCUCACAAACAUCCUUAGCCUAACAUUCCCUAGAAAAUGAGACGGCUUUAGGACAAGGGGUCCAAUAGUUACAACUAACACAACUACAAGGGGUCUAGGGCCUAGUGCAAAGAGGAGGGUGAGUGAAAACAACGGAUCCUCCUACUAGAAAGGAGUUCAACUUGGCUAAACUUUUCCUCUUAAUGACCUAUACAUAUGGGGACCCCUCUAAUGACCUAUACAUGUGGGGUUCCCUUCUCAGAACCUCAUCAGUAAGCUGAGACUCAAAGGUUGAGAUAAUACAUGAAAAACACCUAGCACAAAGACUAGCACAGAGUAGGUGCUAAAUAAGCAUUAGCUCUCCUCAUUAUCCUAAUAGUCCUUCCCAGGUAGCUGUGAUUCCAGAGGAAUGGUAAGGCUAUUCAAGGGCUAGAAGAUGCUGCUUGAGCAAGAUGGGUAAGCAUUUUUGUCAUUCAACGCAUUCAAUCAAAUGCUUACUGACUGCCUAUUGUGUGGGUGUAAGCACUGACAUUUGUUGACUGCCUCAAUAUGCCUCCCCUCUUCUCUCAGUAACAAUCUUGGAUUCUUAUUUGAGAAGAUUCCCUUCCCAUCCAAAUCCUACAUUCUCAGCCAUGCGCUGUUAAGUGGAACCGACCCUACCUCCAGGGGUGACAAGCAGAACACUAGCCCCCAGCCCUGCAGCCUGAUGGGAGAUAGGCAUGUAUGCAGGCCAUCCUCCUGACCACAAGUAUAUUCUUCUCUGUCCUUUGCAAUCUAUCUUUUUAGCCUUAGGGUCCCUACAGCCCAACCUUAUGAUUUAACCUAAACAGAAUUCCCACUGUUCUCCAAAAACAUCCUGGUUUUUCCCAUCCUAAGCCUUUGCUCUAGUCACUCCCUUUAUUUGGAAUGUUCUCUCUCUCUCUCACCUCAACUUCCUCAAAAAUCCCAAACUUCUUGCCUUAAGAGGAAAGUACUACCUCUUCCAAUUCUGGUUGAGGUCAUCUAGCCCUCUUCCGAUCUUUAAUUUGCCCACUCUUUAAGACCUAAUAUGCACUAGAAUUAUACAAAUAAUUCCUACAACCUAACAACAAAAAAACCAAACUGAAGUCAAAAAUGAGCAAAGGCCUUGAAUAGGCAUUUCUCCAAAGAUAUACAAAUGGCUAUAAGCACCUAAGAGGCUCAACAUCACCAUUCAUUGGGGGAAAUGGGACACCAAAGUCACACCCAUCAGGAUGGCUAUUAUUAAUAAAUAAUUAAGUGUUGGUGAGGAUGGGGAGAAAUUAGAACCUUUGGGCACUGUUGGUGGGAAUGGAAAAUGGUGCAGUUGCUAAACAGUAUGACAGUUCCUCAAAAAAUUAAACACUGAACUAUCAUAUGAUCUAGCAAUUUCACUUGUGGAUAUACAGAUGAUCCCUGACUUACCUUAGUUCAACUUAUGAUUUUUCAAAUUUAUGAUUUUGCAAAAGUGACAUGCAUUCAAUAGAAAUCGUUUUCAAAUUUUAAAUUUUGUUCUUUUCCAGGCUAGCAAUUCAGUACAAUAUUCUGUCAUGAUGCUGCGCAGCAGCCAUGAGCCACAGCUUCUGGUCAGCCACAGUAACAUAAGCGUUCUGAGCACAUUUGAAGUAGGCUAACUUAUUAUAUUCAGUAGGUUGGGUGUGUUAAAUGCACUUUUGGCUUAUAUUUUCAACUUAUGAUGGGCUUAUUAGGUUGUAACUCCUCGGAAGUUGAGGUGCAUCUGUACUGAAAAUAAUGAAAAGCAGGGACUUGAACACAUAUUUGUAUACCAAUGUUCACAGCAGUAUUAUUCACAAAUAGCCAAAAGGGAGAAACAACCCAAGAUAUCAUUGAUGAAUGAAUGGGCAGCAGAACAUGCUAUACACAUACAAGGGAAUAUUAUUCAGCUCAAAAGAGGAGGGAAAUUCUGUUGCAUACUACAAUAUGAAUGAACCUUGAAGACAUUAUGUUGGUGAAAGAAGCUAAAAAAUGCUACUGAAUGAGCCCAUAGGUACCUAAGGGUGCCUAAGGUGGCCAAAUUCAUAGAGACAAAGCAUGGUGGUUGUCAGGGACAGGAGGGAGGAGAGAACGAGGAGCUAGUGUUUAAUGGGUACAGAUGAAAAAAGUUCUGGAGAUGGAUGGUGGUGACGGUUGCACAACAGUGAGUAUGCACUAAUGCCACUGAAUUGUGUAUUUAGAAAUGGCGACCGGGCACAGUGGCUCAUGCCUGUAAUCCCAGCACUUUGUGAGGCUGAGACGGGAGGAUCACCUGAGGUCAGGAGUUCGAGACCAGCCUGGCCAGCAUGGCAAAACCCUGUCUCUACUAAAAAAAGUACAAAAAUUAGCUGGGCGUGGUGGUGGGCGCCUGUAAUCCCAGCUACUCAGGAGGCUGAGGUAGGAGGCGGAGGUUGCAGUGAGCUGAGAUCGUGCCAUUGCAGCCGGGCGCUGUGGCUCACUCCUGUAAUCCCAGCACUUUGGGAGGCCGAGGCGGGUGGAUCACGAGGUCAGCAGUUCAAGACCAGUCUGACCAACAUGGUGAAACCCCGUCUCUACUAAAAAUACAAAAAUUAGCUGGGUAUGGUGGCAGGUGCCUGUAAUCCCAGCUACUCAGGAGGCUGAGGCAGAGAACUGCUUGAACCUGGGAGGCGGAGGUUGCAGUGAGCCGAGAUUGCGCCACUGCACUCCAGCCUGGGCGACAGAGCGAGACUCCAUCUCAAAUAAAUAAAUAAAUAAAUAAAUAAGUAAAAUGGCUAAAAUGGGCCGGGCAUGGUGACUCAUACUUGUAAUCCCAGCACUAUGAGAGGCCGAGGUGGGCAGAUCACCUGAGGUCAGGAGUUUGAGACCAGCCUGGCCAACAUGGUGAAACCCCGUCUCUACUAAAGAUAUAAAAAUUAGCUGGGAGUGGUGGUGGGUGCCUGUAAUCCCAGCUACUCAAGAGGCUGAGGCAGGAGAAUUGCUUGAACCCAGGAGGCAGAGGUUGCAGUGAGCCGAGACUGCACCAUUGCACUCCAGCAUGAGUGGCAAGGGCGAAAAGUCUGUCCAAAAAAAAAAAAAAAAAAAAAGCAACAGCUUUUGGGCAAUGAUCUACCAUUACUACACCUCCCUUCCCUUCAUUUUCAAAAAAAAUUUUCAUGCAUUUAACAAACAUUAUUAAGAUUACAUUCUUUCUUCUCAUGUUAAGUCUUUGAAAUCUGGGGUAUAUUUUAUACUUAAAAGCAUGUCUUAAUUUGGACUAGACACAUUUCAAGUGCUCAGUAGCUACACGUGGAUAGUGGUCACUGUAUUAGAUGCAUAGCACUAGUAUGUCCCAAAAUAACUGUUGAGGCUGGACACAGUGGCUUACACCUAUAAUCCCAGCACUCUGGGAGGUUGAAGUCAGAGGAUCAUUCCACGCUGCAGUGAGCUAUGAUCAUGCCACUGCACUCCAGCCUGAGCCACAGAGCAAAACCCUGAUUCAAAAAAAAAAAAAAAAAAAAAAACCCACACAAAAUAACCCCCAAAAACGAAUGGCUGGGCCCAACUAGGAUUAACACUUGCCCUGCAUUUACUUCUCUGGGUGCAGGUUGGGUAAUGCAGAAGUGAAUGAUGGAAACUGAAGCGGCUUACCCAUCAAAGGAAGAGCUAGUGCAGUCAUAUACCAUCUCUCGGUUACCCUUCAUUUGUAGAUAUGCAUCACAAUUGUCACAACCAUCAUAUUCAAACUGGUCUAUAGUCUGGGAGUGAAAGAAAAAUAAAGGAAAAGGAGAGAUAAGCAUGAACAAGACCAAGAGAAAAAGUAGCUUUCUCAAUACUUCGACCUGCUCAAUUUCUUGUUUCCCUAUGUUGACUGUGUAUCCUAAGGUUCCCCACCUACUACUCUCAAAGCUUCAUUCCUAAGUCCCACCCUCCCACUCCUUCCUCUCUCGUUCCCAAUUCCGUUUUAUCUAUUCCUUUCUCUAGUCUACUCAGGGUCAGGCAUCCUUUCCGACUACUCACUCAGCAGCGGAUCCCCACCCGCCUCUGACUCCCAGUGUCUUUCGGCUCCAACGUAAGUUCACCGAACGUCUAAGAGCUGAGGAUUCAAAGGCAUGUAAGACCGCCCCUGCCCUCAGCUGCAAGACCUGUCCGCGAUCCUACGAGCCCCAUUCCGCCCUCUUUCCCCGACCUUGGUCCCCCAUGGGCCCUACAACCAGGUCCCCGACUGACACCUUGACCAGCGAACACAGCAAACAGGCCCGCAGAUGCCGCAGGUCCUUCGGCACCGUCUCCAGGGCCAUCUUCGCCGAUGGGAAGAACAACAGGGAGAUAGACGACCACAGCCUGUGCACCCGCAGGAAAAGCAUUGGGGGCAGUGAAUCCACUGUCUCCCUCUGGAUUGUCUCUGCAGAGACCGAGAAGAAAUCCAGGGACAGCCCCACCCCUCCUUCCUAACUGCGAGAGCGCUAUAGGGUUUCCACUUGCUUCCCACAGGAAUGCUGGCCUGGGAGCUACGGCGGAAAAAAAUGCGUAUUUAUCUUUUAAAACUCCGUCUGUUUGCUCGUUCCGGCUGAUAAUUUAUACUUUGCGCAGUUCUUAGCGCUUAGACACGGUUCCUUUACUAAAGACCAUUUGUAGGAGAUUAGGUGUCCUUUUUUUCCCUUUCAUUUCACCGUCUAGGAAGCGAAAUGCCUUGUUCUAUAGGCACUAAACCACCACCCCUACCAAACCUUUCUCGGGGAAGCAGAAGGGGAACUUGUGCCUUGUGAGGAAGCGACAAAGGCCCCUUCUGGCCCUGGAGACUUCACGCCAAUGGAGCACCAGCUCUCUGUCCUCGCAAUAGCCCGAGUGCAGGCAGAACGCAGUCAUUUGUGUUUAUCUGAGAGGAGCUUUGGGAUAUAAAUAGUUUCAGGCCCCGCUGCGCUGUCAUUCCAGCCCAGCCUCCUGAUUGAGCUGCUUCCGGGCGGGCUUUCUUCUUGUUGGCGGUCCCAUGCUGUGUUCAGAUGGGCUCUGUGACAGGUUUGGAUGUUUUCUAUCACUGAAUAAAACUUUCCACUUUGGAACAUAUUUUCUACACUCUAUUAUCUCAUGUAAGUCCUGCAACAACUAUUAAGUAGGCCCAUUUUAUGGACUGAAAAAGCGAGGCACAGAGUAUUUGCCCAAGGUCUGAGUCACUGAAGUAUGAUAAUGUGUGAAGUGAACAGUAUAAUAAUAAUGACUGAAGCACAGUAAGAAUCCAGUCAUGCUUUCUCCUUCCCUGAUCUCACUAAGCCACACUUUUAGGGGCUUACAAACCAGUUCUUAUUGCCAAGCCCUCUACUCUACCCUAUCCUUUCAUGAAUCGGAGCCUAGCCUCUGAUAACAUAAAUAAUUUACUUCUCUUGAUGUAGAAAGAGAUGACGUUGUUACCCUGAGUGACAGUCACGACAGAACAAAACCACAAGACCAGACCACAUUUGUGGAUAAAUAUAUUAGCAAAUAAAUAUAUUUCUUAACAUAGUGCCUGAUUCAAGCGUCUGUCUGGUUCAGAUAUAAAUACCCAUGUGGGUACCUAGGUGCUAGUCUCCCCACUAACUGAGGGAAAAAGGUUCCCAGGUGGGGUC